UCCGUAGGUGAACCUGCGGAAGGAUCAUUACCGUUUGUCUUUUGACAACACCACUGUGAAUUGUACCAAGCAGGUGGGGUAACGUGUCUCGUCGAGACGUUUUAAAUGAUUUCGAUCGGCCCCACUUGUGCAACCAAUCAUUAUGUUUAUUUCUAACACACUUUCCUAUCCUGUGUUGCUUUGCAUCUUGCGUGCAAAGUGAAUGUUAAAACGUGACAACUUCUAACGGUGGAUCUCUUGGCUCGUGCAUCGAUGAAGAACGUAGCCAGUUGCGAUAAGUAGUGUGAAUUGCAGAAUUCAGUGAAUCAUCGAAUCUUUGAACGCAAAUUGCGCUCUCUGGAUAUCCAGGGAGCAUGCCUGUCUGAGCGUCGUUUAAUAAUCAACACACAACUUGUGUGGAUAGGGAGGUCAUGUGACGUCUCAUUUGACGACGACACCUGUCUCUCGAUGUGUCUGAACCUUGUGGUACGCCCCUGCGUGCUGCUUGGAAGGCUCAACUUGCUUCUGUCCUUCUGAUGCAGUCAUCGCGUUGCGCACUCUUGCAGUUCUCGUUCGACUUACUUACCAGUCGAAAACCUUCUAUUUUGACCUCAGAUCAGACAAGACUACCCGCUGAAUUUAAGCAUAUCAAUA
rnacentral:rRNA from 1 species